UUUAAACCAUUUUCAUUUCAUUUAUUUUCCACCAUUACAAUUUAAACCAUUCUUUUAUUUAGUAAUGUUGAAUGAACUCAACAAUAUUCUAUUAAGUACCGAGAGGGAACAACUAACAAAAAUAAUAGUAGAGAUCAAAUCUCGUACCUUUUGCAUCAUGGGAGAACAAGAAUCACUUUAAAAUUUAAAUUACCCGAACUUUAAGUGAGCUACUCUGUAGAAUAGACCUAAUGUUGCAAAAUUAUUGUCAACUACAUAAUAGAUGCUAGAUACUUACCGCACUAAAAGAUAGCUGGUUACUCAGAAAAGAUAUAAAAGUAUCUUCUUUUUUAUAAAAGAAUCAAUAGCAAAAGGAUAAGCUUUUGUUAUACCAACGGCCUAAGAACACUAACGUUUUAAAAGUAGGAAUAAAAUUUUCCAUCAUCAAUUUUGUUAUAAAAUAUAAAACAAUACUUUAGAAAAUAAAUUUCUACUGCCUUGACUAUUACUGAGUUAUAUAGAAUAAUUAUGCUACUUAACUAUACAACUGAUGUUUUCACGAGUAUUUUUAGAAUUAAGAAUCUCUUUCAUAAAAUAAAAGUUUAUAUGAACUCAAUCAAUCAAAUAUAUAUAAGGAACUCGGCAAAUUUACUACUCCGCCUGUUUAUCAAAAACAUGUCUCUUAGGAACUAUUAAGAGUCAGGCCUGCCCAGUGAUCACUUUAACGGCCGCGGUACCCUGACCGUGCAAAGGUAGCAUAAUCAUUUGCCUUUUAAUUGGAGGCUAGUAUGAAUGGUCUGACGAGAGUAAAACUGUCUCAUAUAUAUUUAAUAAAAACUAACUUAAAGGUGCAAAGGCCUUUAUUUACCAAAAAGACGAGAAGACCCUGUUGAGCUUUAAUCUUAAUGAACACCCUCUCUAUAUUAAUAAAUUUAUUUUGCUCACUAAAGAUUUUAAUUGGGGCGAUUAAGGAACAACCAUCAGCUUCCUGAAUCUAUUUAGAAAUAUCUAUAAAUUAUAUCGAUCCAACAAUGUUGAUCAACAAAACGAGUUACCACAGGGAUAACAGCAUAAUUCUUUUUGAGAGCUCAUAUCGAAAGAAGAGAUUGUGACCUCGAUGUUGGACUAGGGUAACUAGAAGGUGUAGCCGCUUUCUUGUUUGGUCUGUUCGACCAGUAAUUCCCUACAUGAUCUGAGUUCAGACCGGCGUAAGCCAGGUCAGUUUCUAUCUUUUAAUUAAUAUAAUUUAGGCUAGUACGAAAGGACCGCUUAAAAUAAAUACUUUAUUAUAAAGUGAAAAUAAUCUAACUUCAUUUU
rnacentral:rRNA from 1 species